AUCAUAAUUGUUACAGUGUGACAUUUUAUGGUGAGACAAUUGAGUAGUUGAUGGUAUUUGUUUUGUAGGCAAAGAUGGUGGUUGGUUAUUUGAUUGGUUGGGAAGUACGUCGAUUUACAUACAUACGAUUAAAAUGAAAAAUAAAAUAAAUAGAAAUAUUUGUAAAUAUUAUUUAGUGAAAAAAGCCGUACUACAUUUUAUACUUAAGAAUAAAUAUAUAAAGUGCGAUAAAAAAUAAUGGGGAAUCCACGAAAUAAGAUUAAUGUACUUAUUAAAUUCCCAAUAGCUUUGUUAGUGCAGUAUAUUUUGGUAAACGAUUGUAACUAAUUAAGAAACAAGACCAAAUCACGCUAUUGAACGGCAUAUAGUAUAAGUCAGUAUUUUUGUUAUUUGGUUAACUGUUAUAUGUAUAAUUUAAGUACAAGGCAGACAAAAAAGAGCAUGUUUGGUUUUACUAUGCCUAAAGUUAAAUUUAAAGUUUAACUAUACAAAGUCUAUAUGAAGCACCAUCCUUAAAGAAUAUGUAAAUAUUUAGAAACUCGUUUACCAUAAUAUACUUUUGUUGACCAAUCUAUGUGCGUGCAUACAUACAUAUCGCAGAGUUCUUCAAAAGUGUAAUAACUCAAAGUUCCCCGUUUAUCAGAAGAUGCAAAAAAAAAUUAUUUCCAAGGCCAUUUUAAUCAGAUGGGGAAGGAAGACUACUUUGGUUCUUUUUAACUUUUACUUUCGUUUUUGCUGGAUGGUAAAUAUGCGGCUGUGAACAUUUUUAGCGCUUAAUAUCAAAAAGUGAAAAUUUGUUAAUUAAUACACUUUUGAAGAAUGUGUGUUUUAUAAUGUAAGCUAUAGGGUGUUCGCGAUCACCCGUCCUUAUACGGAAUUAUGAAAACGAAAGUGGCUGUGAGCUUGCUUUACGCGCGCUCGUAACAACUAUUUAAAUCACUGAAAACUGCUAUAAUUAUAUGUAAUACCCACACACUUUUUCAAGCAAGCCCAUUUCACUUACAUAAGUACAUAUACACAUACAUAUGUAGGUAUUCAUAUACAUAUAUGUAGAUAUGUAUAGCGUCGUUUAAAGUACAAAAGCGCGUAUCGUGGUUCUGCAAAACCUUGUAACUGACAUUUAUGCCAAAAAUGAGAUUUGCUCACUGUAAGCUCCUGGCAUCAAGUCUUAUCCAAUCAUACCAAAAGAUCGAUAUUUAGUUACAAAAGGUAUAGAUGAUUACGGAUAAAGGAGAUAANAAGUUUUACAUUAUCUUGAUACGCGUUCUUGUACUUUAAACGAACAAUACAUUUGCAUUUUCAUUUACGAUCGCCUUAGCACCAACUAAAUGUUUAUGAAGUUUAUAUAAUUUACUUUUUUUUACUUUAAAUACACUUUAGUAACAACCUGUC